UCCUUGUCGGGUAAGUUCCGACCCGCACGAAAGGCGUAACGAUUUGGGCACUGUCUCAACAACAGACUCGGUGAAAUUGUAAUUCCGGUGAAGAUGCCGGAUACCUGCGACAGGACGGAAAGACCCCAUGGAGCUUUACUGUAGCUUGACAUUGGGUCUUGGUACUACAUGUACAGGAUAGGUGGGAGGCUUUGAAACCAGGACG
rnacentral:rRNA from 1 species